GGUCAUAUCCACCCCUCUCACUCCAUUUAUUUGUGUGUGAGGCGUGUGUGUGGGGAUAAAUCGCAGUCUCGCCCCGUCAAACGGACGAGUCUGCCGAAGUCAACAAGGUGCCUCAUAGUGUGGUGUUCGGCCUCUCGGGAUCGUUCAUCAUCUCAAGCCGCACUCGAAUACACAUCUCGUAUGUCUUUCGACCUCGACGUCUUGCACUCUGACGAUACGUGCUUAAAACCCACGUKCCCACU
rnacentral:misc_RNA from 1 species